rnacentral:lncRNA from 1 species
GCAAGUAUUCCUGAAACACACCCGAGAUGCACUCUAACCCAGAGAAGAGAGCAACCCCAACGGGUUCCUCAAGAUUACUAGUUAUAAAUUAAAAAAGAACAAGCAACUCUUUGCCCAUGACUUUAGCCUAGAGGUUUUCUUCCCAUUCAGGAAAGGCUGCUUCCCCGACAUCUUCAAAGCAGGCCUUGCAGUUGAAGUGUAUGGUCACCAGGUGGUGAGAGCGUGCUGUGGCUGGGAACAGCAACCAGGAAGCCAAGCUCACAGGCACCCAGGAGGAGACACUACCCUCUUGUGACACGUCUAGGAAAGAACUCGUACUCUAAAGGAACGGGCACCCAACUUCCAUCUGUCACCACCUGGGCUAUGAGCCACAAUAUAUUUGUACUUGGAGCACUGUACCUACUUGAGCCCUGUGCUCAGCAGCAAUGUAAACAACCAGUCAGCAGCAAAAAUAACAAAACCUGUUUUAGAAAAACAAGAGGGGAUAGUAAGUAGUCUAAGAAGCUGAGCCUGAGAGACUCAGAGUUGAACAAGCCAGAUCCUUAUCUUGUUGGACUUGAAGAAGUAGGAACAGAGGAGGACACUCUCUACCCCCACCCCUAC